UCAAUCAGAAUCAGAUCCAAGAAACUUAUUUAAAAAAUAAAUAAAAAAUAAAAAAUAAAAAUAAAAAAAGUAAAAUAAAAUAAAUAAAUAAAUAAAAAUAAUAAUAAAAAAAUUAAUUAAAUAAAUAAAUAAAAUAUAACAGAAAAAGGAAGAGAAACAAAAUACUCUGAGGUUUCCUUGGAACAAAACCCUAGACAAAACCUGGAGAGAAACCUGACAGAGAACUCAG
rnacentral:lncRNA from 1 species